GUCACUUGAAGUCAAUUAUAUUGCUAUUUUCUUACAUGAAAUUCAUCGAUCUAUUGUGGCAGAGAACUCUCACAGAAUAAAGUGUAUUCUGUUAUGGUUAUGUGUAGUGUGGAGCAGUAUGUGAUUAGCUGCAGAUCAGAAUUCUACUCCUAGAUCCGUUUUGUUACCCUAUUUUUGUAAUAUUACCUGCUACUAACAAAUGUUGCUUGGCUGUGCUAAUUUUAGAAAAUCAGUUGUUCUGACUUCUGAGGGUCUUCCAUAAAUAUCAAUACUGGUUAAAAAUUAGCAACCAAGAAAGAACAUUCAGGGUGCAACUAUGCUGAUACAAUCCACAUGUCUUGGGAACAUUAAUUUCCUUUGUGUAUAUUUGCUCAAAUGGUAACUGUUG